UUUUCUUUCUUUUUUUUUUUUUUUUUUUUUUUUUGGUAGACACAAGGUCUCGCUAUUUUGCCCAGGCUGUUCUCGAAUUCCUGGCCUCAAGUUUUUCUCCUGCCUUGGCCUCUCAAACUGCUGGGAUUACAGGUGUGAGCCACUGUACCCGGCCUUUCUGUAUACUUUAAAUAAUCUCUAGAUUAUUUAUAGUACAAUACAAUGUAAAUGCUAUGUAAAUAGCUGUUAUACUUUAUUUUUUAAAUUAAAAAAAUUGUUGUAUUGUUACUGGUUUUUUUGUUUGUUUUCCAGAUAUUUUUGACGUGAGGUUUGUUGACCCCACAGAUACGGAGGACUGACUAUGAUUUCUUCUCAAUGUAUUGAGACUUAUGACACAUCUUAUGGUCUGUUUGGUGACUGUUCCACCUGCACCUGAAAACAGUGUAUAUUGUACAGUUGUUGGAUGUACUGUUAUAUAAAUGUCAACUAGAUAAAUAUUUUGAUAGUAUUGUUCAGAUUUUAUGUCUUUACUGUUUUUAUUUUUCUAUUUUUAGACAUAGGGUCUCAGGCCAGGUGUGGUGGCUCAUGCUUGUAAUCUCAGCACUUUGGGAGGCCAAGACAGAAGGAUCGCUUGAGACCAGCCUGGGUAACUGGGAGACCCUGUCUCUGCAAAAAAAAUUUAAAAAUUAGGCACAGUGGCACUUACCUGUAGCCCCAGCUACUCAGGAGGCUGAGGCAGGAGGAUCUCUUAAGUACAGGAAGUCAAGGCUAUAAUGAGCUGUGAUUAUGUCACUGUGCUCCAGCUUGGGUGACAGAGUGAGACUCUGUCUCAAAAAAAAAAAAAAAAAAAAAAAGUGUCUCUUUCUCUCGUUCUGUUGCUCAGGCUGGAGUGCAGUGGCAUAUUCAUAGCUCAUAGCAGCUUUGAAUUCAUGGGCUCAAGUGAUCCUCCCACCUCAGCCUCCGAAGUAGCUGGGACUAUAGGGGUGCGCCACCAUGCCCAGCUAAUUCCUUUGGUAGAGACAGGAGUCUUGCUAUUUUGCCCAGGCUGGUCUCGAACUCAUGGCUUCAAGAGAUCUUCCCACCUUGGCCUCCUACAGUGCUGGGAUUACAGCCAGGAACUGCUGUGCCCAGCUAGCUCUUUUUAAUCCACUUUGUCAGCCUCUGCCUUUUAAUUAGAAUUUGUAAACAUUAACUUUUUUUUUUUUUUUUUUUUGAGAUGGAGUCUUGCUCUGCCUCCCAGGCUGGAGUGCAAUGAUGCAAUCUCGGCACACUGCACCCUCUGCCUCCCCGUUCAAGCGAUUCUCCUGCCUCAGCCUCCUGAGUAGCUGGGAUUACAGGCACACGCCACCAUGCCCAGCUAAUUUUUGUAUUUUUAGUAGAGACGGGGUUUCACCACGUUGGUCAGGCUGGUCUCGAACUCCUGACCUCGUGGUCCGCCCGCUUCAGCCUCCCAAAGUGCUGGGAUUACAGGCAUGAGCCACCGCGCCCAGCCAACAGUAACAUUUAAUGAAAUUAUUUAUAUGGUUAGAUUUAGGUGCACUUUUAUUAUUUGUUUCCUGUUUGUCCCCUCUGUUUUUUGUUUGUUCUUUUUCUUCGGAAUUGUUGGGCUAGUUCUGGGCAUUUCAUUUAUCUGUUGGCUUUUCGGAUCUGUGUCUUUGUGUUGUGUCUUAGUCAUUGCUCUGGAGGUUCCAGUCUGCACACCUGUUAGCCUUCACUGUCUGCUCAGAGUUCAUACUGUGCCCCUCACAGAAACGUGGGGACCUUGCAGUCAUCUGGGUCCCUCGAAUCACCUCCUGACCUUUCUGUUGCCUUUCAUGUGGAUUACUUCUGUGCACGUUGGAAGCCAACUACACAGUAUUUUUUUGUCUACAGUCUUACAUAUUUAAGAACUCCUAAGAGGAAAACAAUAGUAUUUUAUAUUUACCAUUUCUGUUGCUCCCCCUUCCCUCCUCAAGAUCCAGGCUUCCCUCUGGUAUCAUUUUCCUUCAACCCGAGGAACUUUCUUGAGUGUUCCUUAUACAGCAGCUAUAUUAGUGACAAACUAUGUUCGUUUUCUGCCAUCUAGAAUCUUUAUUGCACCUUCGUUUCUGAAAGAUAUUUUCCCUGCGUAUAGAAUACCUCGGUGCCUCUUUUCUUCAAGCACUUAAAAAUAUUCCUACAUAAUGGUUAAAAGCAGGGUGGAUCCUGGCCUAGAUCCUGGACCAGAAGAAGGACGCUCUUGGGAAACUGCUGAGCCCCAAGCCCCACCUGGAGCUCAGUUAGUAGCAGUGCACCAGCGGCGGCCACACAGGCGCGGCUGUGGGGGACACUGGGGAGGAAGUCCGCAGGGAUGCCUUUGCACCUUGUCCACAAAUCCAAAACCAUCUCAAAAUCAGCUGUCCUGUAACAUAUAUUUACAGGAAGGGUAUCAAGGGGAGGGUGUCCCAAGGAGAGGUGGCCCGGCACGGGAACUCAGCCAGUCAGGGAACAGAGACCCGCCAAAGAAUGGGGAGCUCUGGGAGCAGGCGGGGAGGUGGCGCUGAGGGCGGGUCACAGCAGGUAGGGGUUGAGCAGCUCCAUAAAUAUCUUAAAGUGCAUGGAGGCCCGGUUUCUUAUAGGCGGAGAAUGGAGUUACCAAGACCACAAGAGAAAAUGAGAAUGACCCCAGAGUGCUGAAUCGGGAAUGAGGACGUCCUGUGCACAGCUGGCCUGCUGCCUCCCAGGUGUCAGGGCCGGCCCAGGAGUCAGGAGAGGCUGAGGAACCUUCCAGCCCAAGGAGCUGGACAAGGUGUGGCAGCUGCAGGCAGCCGGGAUAGGGACGCAGACUCUCCUACGGGGAGAGGCACUGCUGAGACCGGGGCCCACGUGGGAGGGCCUGGGGAGGGGCUGUCGGUCAUGGCCAGUCUCAAUGACACCCUGGUUCUGGAGGGGACACCAUUUUCUGUAGGAAGCACACAUGGACUGUUCUGAGUGCAGGGAAGUCCAGUCGGCGACUGACUCUUAAAUGAUUCAGGAGGAAGUUCUUUGUACUCUUCUUCCAGCUUUUCUGUAACUGUGAUUGCCUCAGAAUUAAAGCAGAAUGGCCAAGGACCCCGCAGAGGUAGUGACCUCCCCCCCCAAAGGAGGUGGCACCUUUCAGAGGAGUGAGAGGCACUGCGAGGGAGGAGGCGGGCGGUGUCCCCUCGUUGUGCUCCCGCUCUGGCCCCGUGCUGAGUUUUCAGCCGUCCACUGGGGCCCCUUCUGUACACAUCUUUCGUAGUCAGGAUGGGGAGCACCUUGUAAGGUCCCUCCUGUGCGACCUGCUGAAGACUGGGGAGCUCUGGGAGCAGGCAGGUAUUUGUGCUCAUGGUGAAGGGAGAGGGGCUGUCCUCUCCUGGAGGGCAGGGUCAGCGACUUCUUCACUGUGCCCUUGGCACCUGCAAGGUAGCCGGCUGUCAUGAGCGGCUUGUUGAAUGAGUGACAGCUUAAAUGAGGCUUUGAGAGUGACAGUAGCUGGCACUUAGAGUCUGCAGCUGUGCCAACCCUGUCGCUCCAGGGAUAUUUCCACCCACACCACACAUCAGGCACCAAAUGUGUGGGUUUUCCACACCAACAAUUCGCCAGUCCUCUGCAGACACCAGCCAGGCAUCCUGUAAUUCAGUUCAGUCUGACCCUGCCGCAGUUAUCAGGGACCCCAGCGUUAGGGGCUCAGUCACCCCCCAACUUCAGAUGCUAAUUGCAAGUAGUGGGUCCUUGGGGAACCCACACUUCUGUCCAUCUUGGCUACACAUUGGGAGUUCCUAUGACCCCUUCAGGUUUGAUGAUUUGCGGUAGUGGCUCACAGAACUCAGGAAGGCACUUGGUUUGCAUUGCCAGUUUACUAUAAAGGAUGCCACAGCGGGCACAGGCAGGCAGCUGGGUGAGGAGGGUCAUGGGCGAGGUCCAGAGGGUCCUAAGCAUAGGAGCCUUUGUCCCCAGGGAGUUGUGUGGCUGGCGUUACAGCACGGGGAUGAGUUCACCAAACUGAAAGCUUUCCAGAGCCCCUAGUUCAAGGAUUUCCAUGGAGGCCUCGUCAUGGAGACAUGAUCAGUUAUGAACUCAGUCUCCAGUCCCUCUCCCCUUUUUGGAGGGUGGGGGUGGGGCCGAAAGGUCCAGGCUUCUCAUCGUGGCUUGGUCUUUAUGAUGACCAGCCCCCUCCCAAGGCCAUCCAGGAGCCCACCAAGAGGUGCUUCAUUAGAACAGAAGACUCUCCUGUCACCUGGGAAGUCCAAGGGAUUUAGGAGCUCUGUGUCAGGCACCCCAUCACCCCUGUCACUCAGGAAAUUACCAGCGUUCUGAGAGCUCUGUGUCAGGAGCCAGGAGCAGGGGCCAAGUGUGUUCUUCUCAUUCUGUCAGUGCCACAGCCAGGGCCGCAGUUGUGCAGCCGUGUGGAUCAGCUCAGCCCGUCCUCACCCAGCCCUGUCCUUACAAGUGAGGAGGCCGAGGCCACACAGGUGGAUGGCCUUCCCUUAGAGUUACUUUCCAGAGCCUGGGUGCUUAGCCGCUAUGCCCCAUGUUUGAUAUUCUUGUGUUCCAAUGUAACAACUUUAAAAUUACACAGGAUAACACUCUUGAUAACAUUUUAAUAAAUGGCUGUUUUUAUUUUCAAGAAAUUUUGACUUGCACUUCAGAUUUCCUUUUUAAUAUUUUCGUUGAGCGGAUACUUGCUAUUCCAUAAGAGGAUAUGUCCAGUGUUGUGGAAGAUUUAAUGUUUUAAAUCCUUUGUACAGAAAUCCUGCUCCCAAGUCACAGAUAGGCUGACGGGUCAGAGGACAAGAUGUGACCCAGGGCCGAGAGGGGGCCAUGGCACCUGCAAGGCGUUUCUCAGCAAGAUUGAGGACCGUGUUUCAGGGCGUGGGGCAUUGGGCUUUGUCCACAUGGGCUGGCCUGAAGCCCAGCCGGCUACUGCCACAGCGGGCUUCUCCCAGGCUGCUCUCGGUCGGCUGUGCGGACCUCGCCAAGCAUCAGGAACUCCCGGGGAAGAAGCCGCUCUCUGAGAAAAAGCUGAAAAGGUAUUUUGUGGACUAUCGGAGAGUGCUUGUCUGUGGAGGAAACGGAGGUGCUGGGGCAAGCUGCUUCCACAGUGAGCCCCGCAAGGAGUUUGGAGGCCCUGAUGGAGGGGACGGAGGCAACGGUGGACACGUCAUUCUGAGAGUUGACCAGCAAGUCAAGUCCCUGUCGUCGGUCCUGUCGCGGUACCAGGGUUUCAGUGGAGAAGAUGGAGGGAGUAAAAACUGCUUCGGGCGCAGUGGCGCCGUCCUCUACAUCCGGGUCCCCGUGGGCACGCUGGUGAAGGAGGGAGGCAGAGUUGUGGCCGACCUGUCUUGCGUGGGAGAUGAGUACAUUGCCGCGCUGGGCGGGGCAGGAGGGAAAGGCAACCGCUUCUUCCUGGCCAACAACAACCGUGCCCCUGUGACCUGUACCCCUGGACAGCCAGGACAGCAGCGAGUUCUCCACCUGGAGCUCAAGACGGUGGCCCACGCCGGAAUGGUGGGAUUCCCCAACGCCGGGAAGUCCUCACUGCUCCGGGCCAUUUCAAAUGCCAGACCCGCCGUGGCUUCCUACCCGUUCACCACCCUGAAGCCCCACGUCGGGAUCGUCCACUACGAAGGCCACCUACAAAUAGCAGUGGCCGACAUCCCCGGCAUCAUACGAGGCGCCCACCAGAACAGGGGUCUGGGGUCCGCCUUCCUCAGGCACAUCGAGCGCUGCCGCUUUCUCUUGUUCGUGGUGGAUCUUUCUCAGCCUGAGCCGUGGACUCAAGUUGACGAUUUAAAAUAUGAACUGGAGAUGUAUGAAAAGGGCCUGUCUGAGAGGCCCCACGCAAUCAUCGCAAACAAGAUUGACCUCCCUGAAGCCCAAGCCAAUCUGUCCCAGCUCCGGGAUCACUUGGGACAGGAGGUCAUUGUGCUGUCGGCGUUGACCGGUGAGAACCUGGAGCAGCUGCUGUUGCACCUGAAGGUGCUGUAUGACGCCUACGCGGAGGCCGAGCUGGGCCAGGGCCGCCAGCCGCUCAGGUGGUAGCCACGCCAGAGCAGGGUCGCCUCUGGGCCUCUGUCUGAGCAAACCUGGGUGUGAAUUCGGUGGUUUUGAAUGCAUAAAGUGCCUUGUGGACACGGGGGAGUUGUGGUGCUUCUGGGUCUCUGGGCCCCGCCUGCUGGCCUGAGAUGCCCUCAUGUUGGGAAGCAUUCCGUGCCCCCCACCCCGCCUGCCCUCCGUAUUUCCUGCACCUGUCAACCUGCGCCGACUGAUGAGCCAGUUGGCUCAUUUGUGCUGAUUAACACCCCUAAUAAGGGGUUGGGUGCCCAUAACGGGGUGGCCCUGCCGCUGACUCGGGUCUCCGCCAUGCACGCGUGGACUCUCGGGUGAGCUCAGCAGAACCGCACAGCCAGAGCCCCAGGUCAGAAGUGUUCUCAGCACAGUGCCCGUCGUGCUUCCAUGGCUUGCUACAGAGAGACACCUCUGGAUCCACACUGGGGCUGCGUCUGGCCCGUUGUCCAGCAGCCCUGCGGUACAGCAAGCCCAGGCACCAGUGUCUCGGGGAGCCUCACGGCUGCACAAGGGGUGGGGCCGAGGAUGCAAGUCCAGGCAGAGCGGCGCAGGCAGCUGUGAGCUUUUCUCCUUCAGCCGUCUGAGAAGAGCAGUGAGGCCAGCUUCUUCCUGUCCUUCAGAACACUUUGCUGUGCUCAGUGGGAGCCAGGAAGCCUCAGGCUUCACGACUGAAUGCACCCAAUAUCCGACCCGGCUGCGUGUUUCUGGCUGGGCUGCCUUGUGCACAGCGAGUUAACUAGAGGGGGUGUGGGCCAUGGAACUGUCAGCGUUAUUCUCAGAAGGCGGCCGUGGCAUGGGCAGGGUAUAGUGAGGAGUGGAAGGAGACGUGUGCCUGGCAAUAUGGGGCGGAAUUUCCACUCAGCUCUGUUUGCUGGGGAUUUAAAGAGAACCCUUGAGCUGCGCCAGGCAGUUACCAAGCCGAAGGGAGAUGAUGGGCCUUCGCCCCUCAGUGGGACGGCAGCUGAGGGGGCCUUGCAUUUGACCCUUGAGACUGCAGCAGCGCCUUUCCUGUCUGUGGUUUAAGUCUUUGCAGUCAAGUACUGAUGCAUCCAAGCCAGGCCCAUGCCUGGUGUCUCCCUGACUGCAGAGGAGCCCCAGGGCAAGGACAGCUCAGCUGCUGGCAGCCUGCCUGGCCCAUAGACAUCCCCCAAGUAGUCUCAGGCCUCUGACAUGUCCCUGAGGGGCCCCUAAGAAAGAAAGUGGAGGGGACACUCCAGAGGCUGACGUGGGAGGAUCAUGUGAGCCUGGGAGGUCAAGGCUGCAGUGAGCCGUGAUUGCACCACUGCACUCCAGCCUGAGUGACAGAGCGAGACCCUGUCUCAAAAAAAAACAAAAAACAAACAAACAAAAAAACAACAUUCUGGGCGCGGUGGCUCAUGCCUGUAGUCCCAGCACUUUGGGAGGCCGAGGCUGGCGGAUCACAAGGUCAGGAGAUUGAGACCAUCCUGGCUAACACAGUGAAACCCCGUCUCUACUAAAAAUACAAAAAAUUAGCCAGGUGUGGUGGCGGUCACCUGUAGUCCCAGCUACUCGGGAGGCUGAAGCAGGAGAAUGGCGUGAACCUGGGAGGCGGAGCUUGCAGUGAGCCGAGCUCACACCACUGCACUCCAGCCUGAGCGACAGAGCAGGACUCUGUCUCAAAAAAAAAAAGUGGAGGGGACAAAGAAGCAGAGAAGGAUGAUCAGAAGGGGACCCUCAGCCCUUGGAGGAGAGACGGCAGCCUCAGGCCACCACAAAGGAUUUUGUGGAGUCACCCCAGGCCUGACGGCGUUAAUUAUCCCUGGCUUUCAUCUUUAUGCUCUUGCAGGGGAUGCUCAAGAUGCCUCGUGGCUCGACCCCUGCACGGAGCCCCCAGCCCAGCCUCCCCGUGGGUUGAAACCUUGAUCUAGGCCUGACUGUGGCUGCUCUGGGGACAUGCCCUCGUCCUUUGCUGAAGCUGAGGCUCCAGAGGGGGCGUCACUGCCACAAAGGUUGCCCAGAACUUUCCUUGCUGCAAAAAGCUCCAAGACUUCUCCCUGCCACACACACAGCUUUUGCCAUCGCGUUCUAAAAGCUGACAGCUUUCUCUCCAACACUGUUCUCCCUGAGUAGGGUAAAGCUACACUUGGCUUCCCCAGUUUCCUGCUUCCUGCCUAGAAACAAAUUUUUGUCAGUCUGCUUUUCAAAUGGGAUAUAUGAUUCACAUGCCAUAAAAUUCACCACUUUAUAUAA